GACGAGUUUGAUCAUGGCUCAGAUUGAACGCUGGCGGCAUGCCUUACACAUGCAAGUCGAACGGUAACGCGGGGCAACCUGGCGACGAGUGGCGAACGGGUGAGUAAUGCAUCGGAACGUACCCAGUAGUGGGGGAUAGCCCGGCGAAAAGCCGGAUUAAUACCGCAUACGACCUACGGGUGAAAGGGGGGGAUCGCAAGACCUCUCGCUAUUGGAGCGGCCGAUGUCAGAUUAGGUAGUUGGUGGGGUAAAAGCCUACCAAGCCUGUGAUCUGUAGCUGGUCUGAGAGGACGACCAGCCACACUGGGACUGAGACACGGCCCAGACUCCUACGGGAGGCAGCAGUGGGGAAUUUUGGACCAAUGGGCGCAAGCCUGAUCCAGCAAUGCCGCGUGCGGGAAGAAGGCCUUCGGGUUGUAAACCGCUUUUGUCAGGGAAGAAAUCUUCUGGGUUAAUACCUCGGGGGGAUGACGGUACCUGAAGAAUAAGCACCGGCUAACUACGUG
rnacentral:rRNA from 1 species